GAAAUGCGAUAAGUAAUGUGAAUUGCAGAAUUCAGUGAAUCAUCGAGUCUUUGAACGCACAUUGCGCCCCCUGACAUUCCGGGGGGCAUGCCUGUCCGAGCGUCAUUGCUGCCCUUCAAGCCCGGCUUGUGUGUUGGGUCGUCGUCCCCUCCGGGGGACGGGCCCGAAAGGCAGCGGCGGCACCGCGUCCGGUCCUCGAGCGUAUGGGGCUUUGUCACCCGCUCGAUAAGGACCGGCCGGGCGCCAGCCGGCGUCUCCAACCUUUUUUUCUCAGGUUGACCUCGGAUCAGGUAGGGAUACCCGCUGAACUUAAGC
rnacentral:misc_RNA from 1 species